CACAUUACGUUGAAACACCGGCUCCCGUACGAUCACCGAAGUUAAGCAACAUCGAGCCUGGAGGGUACCUAGAUGGGUGACCGCUUGAGAAUACCAUGUGCUGUAAG